CGAGGGGCAGCGGGGAGUGAGGCUUGCCUUACUCUGCCGGCGACCGGCGCACGGGUGAGUAACACGUAUGCAACCUACCCUUUACAGCGGGAUAACCGGAAGAAAUUUCGCCUAAUACCGCAUAUACUCCUUGGGAGGCAUCUUCCGAGGGGGAAAGAAUUUCGGUGAAGGAUGGGCAUGCGUCGCAUUAGUUAGUUGGCGGUGUAACGGACCACCAAGACGACGAUGCGUAGGGGUUCUGAGAGGAAGGUCCCCCACACUGGUACUGAGACACGGACCAGACUCCUACGGGAGGCAGCAGUGAGGAAUAUUGGUCAAUGGCCGAGAGGCUGAACCAGCCAAGUCGCGUGAGGGAAGAAUGUCCUAUGGAUUGUAAACCUCUUUUGUCAGGGAGCAAAGUCACCCACGUGUGGGUGUUGGAGAGUACCUGAAGAAAAAGCAUCGGCUAACUCCGUGCCAGCAGCCGCGGUAAUACGGAGGAUGCGAGCGUUAUCCGGAUUUAUUGGGUUUAAAGGGUGCGUAGGCGGGUUAUCAAGUCAGCGGUAAAAUCGUGGAGCUCAACUCCAUCCAGCCGUUGAAACUGAUGAUCUUGAGUGGCGAGAAGUAUGCGGAAUGCGUGGUGUAGCGGUGAAAUGCAUAGAUAUCACGCAGAACUCCGAUUGCGAAGGCAGCAUACCGGCGCCCGACUGACGCUGAAGCACGAAAGCGUGGGUAUCGAACAGGAUUAGAUACCCUGGUAGUCCACGCAGUAAACGAUGAAUACUAAUUGUGUGCUCCGAAUGAGGAGUGCGUGAUACAGCGAAAGCGUUAAGUAUUCCACCUGGGGAGUACGCCGGCAACGGUGAAACUCAAAGGAAUUGACGGGGGCCCGCACAAGCGGAGGAACAUGUGGUUUAAUUCGAUGAUACGCGAGGAACCUUACCCGGGCUCAAACGCAGGAGGGAUGUUUUUGAAAGGAGGCAGCUCUACGGAGUCUCCUGCGAGGUGCUGCAUGGUUGUCGUCAGCUCGUGCCGUGAGGUGUCGGCUUAAGUGCCAUAACGAGCGCAACCCCUACCGCCAGUUGCCAACGGGUAAAGCCGGGAACUCUGGCGGGACUGCCGGCGCAAGCUGUGAGGAAGGCGGGGAUGACGUCAAAUCAGCACGGCCCUUACGUCCGGGGCGACACACGUGUUACAAUGGCAGGUACAGCGGGAAGCCACUUGGCGACAAGGCGCGGAACCCGAAAACCUGUCUCAGUUCGGAUUGGAGUCUGCAACCCGACUCCAUGAAGCUGGAUUCGCUAGUAAU
rnacentral:rRNA from 1 species